GGAAGUGUGCCUGAACAUUAAAGGAUUACUUUGAUAGAGUAAAAUAUAGGGAAUAAUAACCCCUCACCUCCU
rnacentral:tRNA from 1 species